UACGUUGCUUCAUCGUAAGAGUUUACAACUGAGAGCUUAUCAGGUUUUUGAAUACCCAUGAAUAAUAAUGGUUGUAUGAGGAAUAAAGGUAUCUAAAUAUCUUGAUCAGCUUCCCCACAUUGAUUCGAAAUAAUACCUUAAAUAUUUUAUAAUAUAAAGAGAGGGGGCUUCGAUGGGAGAGGGUCAGAAGGCUUAUUGAUGCUGCUACCAAAAUAAAACAACAAACCCAAACCGGAAACUGUGAUGAACGCCGUUGCCAGGGGAACAGGAUGUCAAGCUGUUCAUGAAGAAAAUAAGACGCGCGGACAAUAAACAGGAGGGGAUAAAAUAGAA